rnacentral:rRNA from 1 species
UUGCAUGCGGUAGCUACACAUGCAGUCGAACGGCAGCACAGGAGAGCUUGCUCUCUGGGUGGCGAGUGGCGGACGGGUGAGGAAUACAUCGGAAUCUACUCUGUCGUGGGGGAUAACGUAGGGAAACUUACGCUAAUACCGCAUACGACCUACGGGUGAAAGCAGGGGACCUUCGGGCCUUGCGCGAUUGAAUGAGCCGAUGUCGGAUUAGCUAGUUGGCGGGGUAAAGGCCCACCAAGGCGACGAUCCGUAGCUGGUCUGAGAGGAUGAUCAGCCACACUGGAACUGAGACACGGUCCAGACUCCUACGGGAGGCAGCAGUGGGGAAUAUUGGACAAUGGGCGCAAGCCUGAUCCAGCCAUACCGCGUGGGUGAAGAAGGCCUUCGGGUUGUAAAGCCCUUUUGUUGGGAAAGAAAUCCAGCUGGCUAAUACCCGGUUGGGAUGACGGUACCCAAAGAAUAAGCACCGGCUAACUUCGUGCCAGCAGCCGCGGUAAUACGAAGGGUGCAAGCGUUACUCGGAAUUACUGGGCGUAAAGCGUGCGUAGGUGGUCGUUUAAGUCCGUUGUGAAAGCCCUGGGCUCAACCUGGGAACUGCAGUGGAUACUGGAUGACUAGAAUGUGGUAGAGGGUAGCGGAAUUCCUGGUGUAGCAGUGAAAUGCGUAGAGAUCAGGAGGAACAUCCAUGGCGAAGGCAGCUACCUGGACCAACAUUGACACUGAGGCACGAAAGCGUGGGGAGCAAACAGGAUUAGAUACCCUGGUAGUCCACGCCCUAAACGAUGCGAACUGGAUGUUGGGUGCAAUUUGGCACGCAGUAUCGAAGCUAACGCGUUAAGUUCGCCGCCUGGGGAGUACGGUCGCAAGACUGAAACUCAAAGGAAUUGACGGGGGCCCGCACAGCGGUGGAGUAUGUGGUUUAAUUCGAUGCAACGCGAAGAACCUUACCUGUCCUUGACAUGUCGAGAACUUUACAGAGAUGGAUUGGUGCUUUCGUGACUCGACACAGUCCUGCAUGGCUGUCAUCAGCUCGUGUCUUACAUGUCAGAUAAGUUCCGCUAACAAGCCCAACCUUGUCCCUACCUGCUGUCAGUGAUGGGUGGGUAGCUCUACGGCAAACUCCAGAUGAACAAACGGCGCGACAGGUAGCGAAAGCGAUGUUACUAGUUUCUGUUGUCGCUAGGGUCCAUUCACUCACUCACGAGGCAAAGUCCAAGUGGUGCAGUGGUGACGCUUCCAACCCGAAACAUAUGUCCACACUAUCGCAGUAAAUGAUA